rnacentral:lncRNA from 1 species
CUCCGCCGGGCUCUCCUGCGCCUACGAGCUCUCUAAGGACCCCUCCGUCAACGUCGCCAUCGUGGAGCAGUCCGUCUCCCCCGGCGGCGGCGCGUGGCUCGGCGGCCAGCUCUUCUCCGCCAUGGUCGUCCGGAAGCCCGCCCACCUCUUCCUCAACGAGCUCGGCAUCCCCUACGACGAGCAGGACUCGUACGUCGUCAUCAAGCACGCGGCGCUGUUCACCUCCACCAUCAUGAGCCGCCUCCUCGCCCGCCCCAACGUCAAGCUCUUCAACGCCGUGGCGGUGGAGGACCUCAUCGUCAAGGAGGGGAGAGUCGCCGGAGUGGUCACCAACUGGGCUCUGGUGUCGAUGAACCACGAUACCCAGUCGUGCAUGGAUCCGAACGUGAUGG